GACGUAGGGCGCGAGCGUUGUCCGGAUUUAUUGGGCGUAAAGAGCUCGUAGGCGGCUCAUUGCGUCAACCGUGAAAACCAGCAGCUCAACUGUUGGCUUGCGGUUGAUACGGGUGGGCUGGAGUUCGGUAGGGGAGACUGGAAUUCCUGGUGUAGCGGUGAAAUGCGCAGAUAUCUGGAGGAACACCGGUGGCGAAGGCGGCGUCCUGGACCAACACUGACACUGAGGAGCGAAAGCCAGGGGAGCAAACGGG
rnacentral:rRNA from 1 species